rnacentral:pre_miRNA from 1 species
CAAAUACUCCCUCCGUUCGGAAAUACUCGUCGAAGAAAUGCAUAAAAAUGAAUGUAUCUAGGACUAAAAUACGUCUAGAUACAUCCAUUCCUUCGACGAGUAUUUCCAAACGAAGGGAGUACAUG